rnacentral:rRNA from 1 species
AUUGAACGCUGGCGGCAGGCCUAACACAUGCAAGUCGAGCGGAUGACGGGAGCUUGCUCCUUGAUUCAGCGGCGGACGGGUGAGUAAUGCCUAGGAAUCUGCCUGGUAGUGGGGGACAACGUUUCGAAAGGAACGCUAAUACCGCAUACGUCCUACGGGAGAAAGCAGGGGACCUUCGGGCCUUGCGCUAUCAGAUGAGCCUAGGUCGGAUUAGCUAGUUGGUGAGGUAAUGGCUCACCAAGGCGACGAUCCGUAACUGGUCUGAGAGGAUGAUCAGUCACACUGGAACUGAGACACGGUCCAGACUCCUACGGGAGGCAGCAGCGGGGAAUAUUGGACAAUGGGCGAAAGCCUGAUCCAGCCAUGCCGCGUGUGUGAAGAAGGUCUUCGGAUUGUAAAGCACUUUAAGUUGGGAGGAAGGGCAGUAAGUUAAUACCUUGCUGUUUUGACGUUACCGACAGAAUAAGCACCGGCUAACUCUGUGCCAGCAGCCGCGGUAA